GGCUCGGUAGCUCAGUUGGUAGAGCAUGGGACUGAAAAUCCCUGUGUCACUGGUUCAAGUCCUGUUCGAGCCACCA
rnacentral:tRNA from 1 species